rnacentral:rRNA from 1 species
UACGUAGGGUGCAAGCGUUGUCCGGAAUUAUUGGGCGUAAAGAGCUCGUAGGCGGUCUGUCACGUCGGCUGUGAAAACCCGAGGCUCAACCUCGGCCUGCAGUCGAUACGGCAGACUUGAGUUCGGCAGGGGAGACUGGAAUUCCUGGUGUAGCGGUGAAAUGCGCAGAUAUCAGGAGGAACACCGGUGGCGAAGGCGGUCUCUGGGCCGAUACUGACGCUGAGGAGCGAAAGCGUGGGGAGCGAACAGG